rnacentral:rRNA from 1 species
ACGCACGCUGGCGGCAUGCCUAACCCCUGCAAGUCGAACGCGACCUUCGGGUCUAGUGGCGCACGGGUGCGUCACGCGUGGGAACCUGCCCUUAGGUUCGGAAUAACUCCCCGAAAGGGGUGCUAAUACCGGAUAAUGUCUUCGGACCAAAGAUUUAUCGCCUUUGGAUGGGCCCGCGUUGGAUUAGCUAGUUGGUAGGGUAAAAGCCUACCAAGGCGACGAUCCAUAGCUGGUCUGAGAGGAUGAUCAGCCACACUGGGACUGAGACACGGCCCAGACUCCUACGGGAGGCAGCAGUGGGGAAUAUUGGACAAUGGGCGAAAGCCUGAUCCAGCAAUGCCGCGUGAGUGAUGAAGGCCUUAGGGUUGUAAAGCUCUUUUACCCGGGAUGAUAAUGACAGUACCGGGAGAAUAAGCUCCGGCUAACUCCGUG